GUUGGAUUUUUAAUUUUUUUUAUUUUAAACAUACAAGUGAUAUUCUGGAAAGGUUGAAGGGCAAUGUAAUAAAGGAUUCUAGAAUGAUUUAUAAAGGCUUCACUGGGACUUUCAAUGCUGCUACUUGACUGUAUUGUUUCCAGUUGUCAAAGUGAUUACAAUGAGAUUGAAGACUCUGCCAAAAUUCCUAAACUAAGCCACUUCCUUUCACAUGUACAAGAGAGCAUAAGGCCAGCUGGCAAUAUAAUAGACAAUAUUUAUUAGGACUUGGCAAUCUGCACCAAUAGUAAAAGCCUAUUAUUUUUAUGUUAUUUAUAUAGCGCCAACAAAUUCCAUAGCGCUUUACAGUGAGUGGACGAACAGACAUGUAGUUGUAACCAGACAAGUUGGAUACACAGGAACAGAGGGGUUGAGGGCCCUGCUCAAUGAGCUUACAUUCUAGAGAGAGUGGGGUAAAGUGACAUAAAAGGUAAGGAUAGUAUUAGACUAGUGACAGUUGCAAGAGAGGAAUCAGGCGGAAUUUAUUAACCGUUUAAGUGAUACACUUUUAUGAAGUGGGUUUUUUAACGAUUUUUUUUGAAGGAGUGGAGACUGGCUGAGCAUCUAACGGAGGAGGGAAGAGAGUUCCACAGGAAUGGUGCAGCCCUACUAGUUAACUCUUUGAUAGAUGAUGUGAGGACUCUGCCAUGAUAUCUUAGGGUCUGACUAACUCACCUGUCUUUUAGGUGGUAAACACAAGGGACAAAGAAGUAGGGAAAUCCCCUGUCUAAUUACUAUAAACCAACUGCCUCUCGCAUAAUGCAUGCCCGUACAUACUAGGCAUAUGCUCACUGGGUACCGCUCACCAAACUCUCAGAUUGGUAUACCAACACAAUACAUAAAAAAAGUUAAUUUAACAAAGUAUGCAAACUUUCUUGCUUAAUAGAUGUUAAACCCCUAUAAUCUAAUCCAGUAUCUAUAUUCGGAAGCAGAUUUGUGUCCAACCAGAGCAUGAGCCGGCAGGGGGGUGUGGGGGUUGGGGACUUUUUGUACAGACUUGCAAAAUUUGUUAACGAUAUAUAAAUAAUACAUACGUUCAAUAUGAGGCAUUAGCAGAAAUUAUACAGAUCAUAGGGAAAAUAAGUAUAUAAAUGGAUGCCUGGAAUAACCUCCGGGUACAAGUGGUAGAAGCAAUCAUUUGAGGUCAUCACAAAACAUGUUAGAAAGACCUUUUGGACAAAGGAAUGAGAGCGUGGCCAAACCUCUUCUUUCUUUAAGAGGGAAUUACCCACAUACAUUAAACAGGAAUAUUAUUACGGGAACGCAGCAGCAGGUAUUUGCCUGUCCCUUGACUGAUA